rnacentral:rRNA from 1 species
UACGUAGGAGACGAGCGUUGUCCGGAAUUACUGGGCGUAAAGCGCGUGUAGGCGGAUGAGCAAGUCUGCUGUGAAAGCUCCUGGCUUAACCGGGAGUGGUCGGUGGAAACUGCUCGUCUGGAGGACGGUAGAGGUAGGUAGAAUUCCCGGUGUAGUGGUGAAAUGCGUAGAGAUCGGGAGGAAUACCUGUGGCGAAGGCGGCCUACUGGGCCGGACCUGACGCUGAGGCGCGAAAGCUAGGGGAGCGAACAGG